CUACGGGCUGCUCCAGUGAGGAAUCUUGCGCAAUGGGGGAAACCCUGACGCAGCGACGCCGCGUGGGUGAUGAAGGCCUUCGGGUCGUAAAGCCCUGUCGAGAGGGAAGAAUUGCAUUUAGGUUAAUAGCCUAAUUGUUUGACGGUACCUCCAAAGGAAGCACCGGCUAACUCCGUGCCAGCAGCCGCGGUAAUACGGAGGGUGCAAGCGUUGUUCGGAAUCACUGGGCGUAAAGGGCGUGUAGGCGGCUGAGUAAGUCAGGUGUGAAAUCCCUCGGCUCAACCGAGGAAGUGCAUUUGAUACGGCUAAUCUUGAGUACUGGAGAGGGAGAUGGAAUUCCCGGUGUAGAGGUGAAAUUCGUAGAUAUCGGGAGGAACACCAGUGGCGAAGGCGAUCUCCUGGACAGAUACUGACGCUAAGGCGCGAAAGCGUGGGGAGCAAACAGGAUUAGAUACCCGAGUAGUC
rnacentral:rRNA from 1 species